GACGAACGCUGGCGGCGUGCUUAACACAUGCAAGUCGAACGAUGAAGCCCAGCUUGCUGGGUGGAAGAGUGGCGAACGGGUGAGAAACACGUGAGUAACCUGCCUAUCACUCUGGGAUAAGCGCUGGAAACGGCGUCUAAUACUGGAUACGACCUAUCACCGCAUGGUGUGUGGGUGGAAAGAUUUAUCGGUGGUAGAUGGACUCGCGGCCUAUCAGCUUGUUGGUGAGGUAACGGCUCACCAAGGCGACGACGGGUAGCCGGCCUGAGAGGGUGACCGGCCACACUGGGACUGAGACACGGCCCAGACUCCUACGGGAGGCAGCAGUGGGGAAUAUUGCACAAUGGGCGCAAGCCUGAUGCAGCAACGCCGCGUGAGGGACGACGGCCUUCGGGUUGUAAACCUCUUUUAGUAGGGAAGAAGCGAAAGUGACGGUACCUGCAGAAAAAGCACCGGCUAACUACGUGCCAGCCGCCGCCGUAA
rnacentral:rRNA from 1 species